rnacentral:rRNA from 1 species
GUCCGGGGCUGAAACACACUGCCGAAGCUUUGGAAUUGAAUGAAUUCAAUUGGUAGAGGAGCAUUCUUAAAGGGAGGAAGCAGUACCGGAAGGAGCUGUGGACUUUUAAGAAGAGAGAAUGCCGGAAUGAGUAGCGAGAGGAAGGUGGGAAUCCUUCCGGCCGAAUAUCUAAGGUUUCCAGAGUAAAGCUGAUCUGCUCUGGGUAAGUCGGGGCCUAAGGCGAGGUCGAAAGACGUAGUCGAUGGAUAACAGGUUGAAAUUCCUGUACUAUCCUGUAACAGAACUGUGGGGACACAGGCAGAGAGCGUGAGCCGGGAAUGGAAAGACCGGUACAAGCGAGGUAGGAGAAGAGCUGGCAAAUCCGCUCUUCAAUCUGAAGACGUGAUGUGGACCGAAAAGAAGUAGGGAAGCACGUGAGCUGACUGUCAAGAAAAGCCGCUAUUGUUUGCAGGAUACCCGUACCGUAAACCGACACAGGUGGAUGAGGAGAGAAUCCUAAGGCCGACGGGAGAAGCAUUGUUAAGGAACUCGGCAAAAUGACUCCGUAACUUCGGGAGAAGGAGUGCCAGUAAGAUGGCCGCAGAGAAUUGGCCCAAGCAACUGUUUAGCAAAAACACAGGUCUAUGCAAAACCGAAAGGUGAGGUAUAUGGGCUGACGCCUGCCCGGUGCUGGAAGGUUAAGGGGAGAGGUUAGCCGCAAGGCGAAGCUUUGAACUUAAGCCCCAGUAAACGGCGGCCGUAACUAUAACGGUCCUAAGGUAGCGAAAUUCCUUGUCGGGUAAGUUCCGACCCGCACGAAAGGCGUAAUGAUUUGGGCACUGUCUCAACAAUGCACCCGGUGAAAUUGAAAUACCAGUGAAGAUGCUGGUUACCUGCGCCAGGACGGAAAGACCCCAUGGAGCUUUACUCCAGCUUGAUACUGGGAUUCGGUAUUGUAUGUACAGGAUAGGUGGGAGGCUUUGAAGUGGUUACGCCAGUAGCCAUGGAGCCGCUGUUGGGAUACCACCCUUGCAGUACUGGGUUUCUAACCAGCAGCCGUGAUCCGGCUGGGGGACAAUGUCAGGUGGGGAGUUUGACUGGGGCGGUCGCCUCCGAAAGGGUAUCGGAGGCGCUCAAAGGUUCCCUCAGAAUGGUUGGAAACCAUUCGAAGAGUGCAAAGGCAGAAGGGAGCUUGACUGCGACACCGACGGGUGGAGCAGGUACGAAAGUAGGACUUAGUGAUCCGGUGGUAUAAAGUGGGAUUGCCAUCGCUCAACGGAUAAAAGCUACCCUGGGGAUAACAGGCUUAUCACUCCCAAGAGUUCACAUCGACGGAGUGGUUUGGCACCUCGAUGUCGGCUCAUCGCAUCCUGGGGCUGAAGUAGGUCCCAAGGGUUGGGCUGUUCGCCCAUUAAAGCGGUACGCGAGCUGGGUUCAGAACGUCGUGAGACAGUUCGGUCCCUAUCCGGCGUGGGCGUAAGAUAUUUGAGAGGAGCUGUCCUUAGUACGAGAGGACCGGGAUGGACUGGCCGCUGGUGUAUCUGUUGUCUUACCAAAGGCAUAGCAGAGUAGCCAAGCCGGGAAGGGAUAAACGCUGAAGGCAUCUAAGCGUGAAGCCCCCCUCAAGAUGAGAUAUCUCAUAACGUCAAGUUAGUAAGACCCCUUGAAGACGACGAGGUAGAUAGGGCAGAGGUGGAAGUGUGGUAACACAUGGAGCUGACUGUUACUAAUAGGUCGAGGGCAUAACCAAA